rnacentral:rRNA from 1 species
AUGGUGUGUUUCUGUACCAGCGACGGCACCAACCAGCCGCAGCUUCCCGGUGGUUCCCCGAGCACCUCCCCGCGCACGGCCUCGCCCCCCUGGCGCUCCGACCCUCCGGUGGCGCCGGCCCGUCGUCGCGCGGCCUUGCUCCCAGCCGUGGCGCUGCUCCACCAUCGCGCCGUCUCUGCCCGAGCCCGGCCUCAAUCGCCAUUGCUGCUCCUGCCCACGGCCCCGCCGCCGUUCCGGUCUGCCUCCGCGCUGCUGUGCUUUGGCGAUGCUCCAGCCCCGUGUCCGCGCCGGCUUCGUGCCCCGACCCCAUCACAGCUUCCCCGCGACCCAGCCUGCGUCGGGCCGGCUCCGCUCGUGCCUCGGCCGAUCUCUCUCGGGUCGUGUCCGCGCCGGCUUCUCCUCCCGUACGACUGGCCAGUUCGCCGCCCUGAGCGCCGUCUCCGCCAUGCUCAGCCGCCUCGCCACCCACCCGCGCGAUGGACCCGGCCCGCCGGCUUCGCUCCACCAGCCGGGUUCUCCACCCCAGCGGCUGGGAAGCCGCCCUGCGCCCCGUUGCCGUCUCCACCAACAACGCCCAUCGGCGCCUUCGCACGCCCCGUGCCGACUGCCGCUCGCUCCGCGCCGGCUCCACGCCUCUGCGUGCCUGCGCCGGCUCCGCCCCGCACUCGGCCGCAUCGCUGUUGCCCCGGCCGCCGGCUCCCACGCCCGGCCUGCUCCGCCCCCGGCCGCGCCGGUGUCCGUCGCCACGCCUCCGGCCGCUUCCCCGUGCCGGCCCCGCCUUGCCUCCCGCGCCUGCUUGCGGCUUCGCCACCCGCCUUCUCCGCCGCGACCCGGACGGCCGGCUUCGCCGCCCACCGUCUCCGCCGCGACCCGGACGGCCGGCUUCGCCGCCUGCCAGCUCCCCCGCAGCCGGCCUCCCCUGCCGCCGGCUGGUGCGCUCCCGGUCCAGCCACCUGUUGCGGCCGGGUGCCCGGAGAAAAAAGCAGAAGGCCGGUUGGCCACUCGGCUAAAAAAGAAAAAAGAAAGGGCAUGGCCGGCUGGAGAAAAGUCUACGGGCCGGCUGCUAAAAGAAAAUAA